CAAUAGCGUAUAUUUAAGUUGUUGCAGUUAAAAAGCUCGUAGUUGGAUUUCGGGUUGGCUUCAGCGGUCUCGCUUUGCGUUUGUACUGCCGCAGCCUUCCUUCUUGCUGGGGACGGUCCUCCGGGUUUCAUUGCUUGGGGUCUGGAAUCAGCGACGUUACUUUGAGUAAAUUAGAGUGUUCAAAGCAAGCCUACGCUCUGAAUAUAAUAGCAUGGGAUAACACGACAGGACUCUGGCCUAUCGUGUUGGUCUGUAGGACCAGAGUAAUGAUUAAGAGGGACAGUCGGGGGCAUUCGUAUUCCGUUGUCAGAGGUGAAAUUCUUGGAUUUACGGAAGACGAACAUCUGCGAAAGCAUUUGCCAAGGAUGUUUUCAUUGA
rnacentral:rRNA from 1 species